rnacentral:rRNA from 1 species
CUGGCUCAGAUUGAACGCUGGCGGCGUAGCUUAACACAUGCAAGUCGAACGCGAAAGGGACUUCGGUCCUGAGUAAAGUGGCGCACGGGUGAGUAACGCGUGGAUAAUCUGCCCUUAUGAUCGGGAUAACAGUUGGAAACGGCUGCUAAUACCGGAUACGCUCGAAAAUGAACUUUUUUGAGGAAAGAUGGCCUCUGCUUGCAUGCUAUCACGUAAGGAUGAGUCCGCGUCCCAUUAGCUUGUUGGCGGGUAACGGCCCACCAAGGCAACGAUGGGUAGCCGAUUUGAGAGGAUGAUCGGCCACACUGGAACUGAAACACGGUCCAGACUCCUACGGGAGGCAGCAGUGGGGAAUAUUGCGCAAUGGGCGAAAGCCUGACGCAGCGACGCCGCGUGAGGGAUGAAGGUUUUCGGAUCGUAAACCUCUGUCAGAAGGGAAGAAACUACGUUGUGCUAAUCAGCAGCGUACUGACGGUACCUUCAAAGGAAGCACCGGCUAACUCCGUGCCAGCCGCCGC